rnacentral:piRNA from 1 species
UCAAGGACGACAAGGGCAACCUCAACCGCUUA